rnacentral:rRNA from 1 species
UACAUGGGGUGCAAACGUUGCUCGGAAUUAUUGGGCGUAAAGCGCGCGUAGGCGGUUACUCAAGUCGGAUGUGAGAGCCCUCGGCUUAACUGAGGAAGUGCACCCGAAACUGAGUAGCUAGAGUACUAAAGAGGGUCGCGGAAUUCCCGGUGUAGAGGUGAAAUUCGUAGAUAUCGGGAGGAACACCGGUGGCGAAGGCGGCGACCUGGGUAGAUACUGACGCUGAGGCGCGAAAGCGUGGGGAGCAAACAGG